rnacentral:hammerhead_ribozyme from 1 species
ACCCAGUUGACGAGUUUCAAAUAGGAUGAAACGCGCGUCCUGGAU